rnacentral:rRNA from 1 species
AUACGGAGGGUGCAAGCGUUAAUCGGAAUUACUGGGCGUAAAGCGUACGUAGGCGGUUCGUUAAGUUAGAUGUGAAAGCCCCGGGCUUAACCUGGGAACUGCAUUUAAAACUGGCGAACUAGAGUUGAGUAGAGGGGAGUGGAAUUUCAGGUGUAGCGGUGAAAUGCGUAGAGAUCUGAAGGAACACCAGUGGCGAAGGCGACUCCCUGGACUCAAACUGACGCUGAGGUACAAAAGCGUGGGUAGCAAACGGGAUUAGAUACCCUAGUAGUCC